GAAAAUUCGAUGAAGAAGAGAGUAGGAAAAAGACAGCGGCACGAGCGAGUCGGGGACGGUGGAAGCCCGAUGCCGCCCUUUUUCCGAAGCGCACUUCCGAGAAGCGGCUCUGAAACGGUUGACCGGCGGCUGCAGUCAGGCUGAAGUUUUCUGCCGCAAGGGAAACACUCCCGCGAAAACGCCGCCGAAACCGCGCGUAGGAGCCCGCCGCCCGGCCGCGUUACGGCAGCGAGGGAACAACCGGGGGUUUUGCCCUUUCCCUUCGGUUGUUAAAAAGAGUGGCACCGCGGGUGCAGCCCGUCUCUUUG
rnacentral:ncRNA from 1 species